rnacentral:rRNA from 1 species
UACGAAGGGGGGCUAGCGUUGUUCGGAAUUACUGGGCGUAAAGCGCACGUAGGCGGAUAUUUAAGUCAGGGGUGAAAUCCCAGAGCUCAACUCUGGAACUGCCUUUGAUACUGGGUAUCUUGAGUAUGGAAGAGGUAAGUGGAAUUGCGAGUGUAGAGGUGAAAUUCGUAGAUAUUCGCAGGAACACCAGUGGCGAAGGCGGCUUACUGGUCCAUAACUGACGCUGGAGGUGCGAAAAGCGUGGGGGAGCAAACAGG